rnacentral:rRNA from 1 species
GAUGAACGCUAGCGAUAGGCUUAACACAUGCAAGUCGAGGGGUAACGUGUUGGAAGCUUGCUUCCGAUGACGACGACCGGCGGAUGGGUGCGUAACGCGUAUGCAACUUGCCUCACAGUGGAGAAUAACCCGGAGAAAUCCGGACUAAUACUCCAUACACUCUUAAGUACGCCUGUACAUGAGAGGAAAGAUUUAUCGCUGUGAGAUAGGCAUGCGUCCUAUUAGGUAGUUGGUGAGGUAACGGCUCACCAAGCCGACGAUAGGUAGGGGUGCUGAGAGGCAGAUCCCCCACAUUGGGACUGAGACACGGCCCAAACUCCUACGGGAGGCAGCAGUGAGGAAUAUUGGUCAAUGGAGGAAACUCUGAACCAGCCAAGUCGCGUGAAGGAAGAAUGUCCUAAGGAUUGUAAACUUCUUUAGCGAGCGAGUAAGGACUUCCACGUGAUGGGAGUUUGAAAGUAGCUCGAGAAUAAGGAUCGGCUAACUCCGU